GACGAACGCUGGCGGCGUGCUUAACACAUGCAAGUCGAACGGCAAGGCCCUGCUUUUGUGGGGUGCUCGAGUGGCGAACGGGUGCGUAACACGUGUGUAACCUGACCUAGACUUUGGGAUAACUUCAGGAAACUGGGGCUACUACAGGAUAGGAGAUCCUGCUGCAUGGUGGGGGUUGGAACGUCUCGGCGGUCGGGGAUGGACGCGCGGCUUAUCAGCUUGUUGGUGGGGUAGUGGCUUACCAAGGGUUUGACGGGUAGCCGGCCUGUGAGGGUGACCGGCGACAUUGGGACUGAGGGACGGCCCAGUGUCCUACGUGAGGCAGCAGUGGGAAGUAUUGCACAAUGGGCGGAAGCCUGAUGCAGCAGCGCCGCGUUCGGGAUGACGGCCUUCGGGGUGUGAACCGCUGUCGCCUGUGACGAAGCGUGAGUGACGGUAAUGGGUAAAGAAGCACCGGCUAACUACGUG
rnacentral:rRNA from 1 species